rnacentral:rRNA from 1 species
GACGAACGCUGGCGGCGUGCUUAACACAUGCAAGUCGAACGGAAAGGCCCUGCUUUUGUGGUGUGCUCGAGUGGCGAACGGGUGAGUAACACGUGAGUAACCUGCCCUUGACUUUGGGAUAACUUCAGGAAACUGGGGCUAAUACCGGAUAGGAGCUCCUGCUGCAUGGUGGGGGUUGGAAAGUUUCGGCGGGUGGGGAUGGACUCGCGGCUUAUCAGCUUGUUGGUGGGGUAGUGGCUUACCAAGGCUUUGACGGGUAGCCGGCCUGAGAGGGUGACCGGCGACAUUGGGACUGAGAGACGGACCAGACUGCUACGGGAGGCAGCAGUGGGGAAUAUUGCACAAUGGGCGGAAGCCUGAUGCAGAAACGCCGCGUGCGGGAUGACGGCCUUCGGGUUGUAAACCGCUUUCGCCUGUGACGAAGCGUGAGUGACGGUAAUGGGUAAAGAAGCACCGGCUAACUACGUG